CAUGAUGAGACUACAUUAGUCUUGAAUUGUAUAGAGGGUAGUCGCAGUCGCCCCGACUCCGACCCUUGCACGGUAUACUGUGUAAGAGUAAGGUGAGAAACAACUUUAGUUGGAAACUUUAAUUUUGUUUAUGAAUUAAAGAACUGU
rnacentral:sRNA from 12 species